rnacentral:lncRNA from 1 species
CAACUCGCCGAGUCGAUUGCAUGCAACCACUAAUCAGAUGAUUCUGGUCAAUUCCAUUGCAUUCAACUAAUAGAUCUGGGCUCCUAGGGCUUGUUUCACACGUAAAGUUUCCAACUUUACGUGUAUAAAUGCAUCCAUGGAGGUUUAAAAGCUCUAAAGGGACCAAAAGAGUAUAUCUAGGGUUUUGAUGCAAGAAUGGCCCCAUAAAGGCCAUAGAUCAGAGCUUCUAGAGCUCAUACAUGGGUAGAUCUGAUGGCUAUUCAUCACCACAUGCUUCCAGUACUACUACCAAGCCAAAAAUGAUAAAAACAAGCCCACCAAGAGAUCUAAUUGAAGAAUGACAAAGGUGUGACCUUGAUACCUCAAAGAAGACUGUGAUACCACCAAAAACUCGGAUCUACUUGCUUCUCCCUUGAUUCCUCCUCCUCUCUUCUCUCCUUCUAUUGCACAAAUGAACCACAACUUCACAAAGUGAGAAAAUCACACCAAAAUGACAAGGGUGGCUAGGGUUUUCGUAUGAGGCUUUUCUGUGGGUGAGGGAGGCUACUGAAUGCCCAAAUAGUUAUUUAAAUAGGGUACAAACCCAUGGAUUUAGGGUUUCAUCCAGACUGAUGGACUCGCCGAGUCCAGGCAUAUGGACUCGUUGAGUCUCCGGCUCCAAAUGCGUGCUUAUCCCGUCUCAACUCGACGAGUCGGGCUACUGACUCGUCGAGUUCCUCUUGAAAACUUGAAAAUAAAAAUUUAAAUAACAUACCAGAAAUAGGGUGUUACAACUCUCCCCCACUUGUCUCAGACUUUGUCCUCGAAGUCUGCUGCUUCUGAAUCUGGAAACAACUUUGGGUAAUGCUCCCUCAUCUCCUCCUUUACCUCCCACGUCCACUCAGACCCCUUCCGAUACUGUCACUGCACCUUUACCAACUGAACCACCUUUUUCCUCAAGGUCUUCGUCUUUCGAUCCAAAAUCGCAACCAGUCUCUCAAUAUAAUUUAGGCUACUAUCAACCUGAAUAUCCUCCAAGGGUACAACUGCUGACUCGUCCACCAAACACUUCCUCAACUGGGAGACAUGGAAAGUGUUGUGGAUCUGGAUAAGCUCUGCCAAAAGAUCCAACUGAUAAGUGACCCGAUCCACCUGGGCCAAAACCCUAAAAGGACCGAUGAACCUGGGGCCCAGCUUGCCCCUCUUAUGGAACCAGAUAACACCCUUCCAGGGUGACACCUUCAGGAGGACCAUAUCGCCCACCUGAAACUCAAAGUCUGAACGCCUCCUAUCAGCGUAACUCUUCGGUCGACUUUGUGCAGUCUGCAGUCUACUACGAACCUGUUGGAUCAACUCUGUGGUCUUGAGCACCACUUCGGUGCUCCCGAUGACUCGCUAACCAACCUCGCCCCAACAAAUCGAGGUCCUGCACUUCCUCCCGUAGAGCAUCUUGAAAGGAGGGCGGUCAAUACUUGCAUGGUAGCUGUUGUUAUACGAAAAUUCUGCUAAUGGAAGAUACGUAUCCCAACUGCCACUGAAGUCUAGGACACAUGCCCCAAGCAUGUCCUCGAGAGACUGAAUCGUCCUCUCGCUCUGCCCGUCCGUCUGUGGGUGGAAAGCGGUGCUGAAAUGGAGACGAGUACCCAUCUAGUCAUGAAAUCGUUUCUAGAAUCUGGAAGUAAAACGGACAUCUCGAUCUGACAUCACUGAAACAGGCACUCCAUGCCGUGCCACAACUUCUCGCACAUAAAUAUUGGCUAGCUUCUCAACUGAUAUGCUCUCCUGGAUCGGUAUAAAAUGAGCGCUCUUUGUCAAUCGAUCCACUAUAACCCAAAUUGAAUCCACUCCACGUGCGGUCCUGGGGAGCUUAGUGACAAAAUCCAUGGUGAUGUCUUCCCAUUUCCUCACUGGAAUGUCUAAUGGCUGCAUCUUACCAUGAGGCCUCUGGUGUUCCGCCUUAACCUUCCUGCAGGUCAGGUACCUCUCCACAUACCAGGCGACAUCCCGCUUCAUACAGGGCCACCAAUAGUCGGGUCGAAGAUCCCUAUACAUCUUCGUUGCCCCUAGAUGGAUGGAAAAUCGAGACUUAUGAGCCUCAUCCAUAAGCACUUGCCGUACUCCGCCCCAGUACGGUACCUAAACUCUUCCAUGAAGGGUCAACAAUCCUCGACUAUCAUAGUCGAAGGAAGCUACUCGGCCCACAAUCCUCUCACACUUCUGCCUCUCCUCCUUGAGGCCCUCGACCUGAGUCUCUCUUAUAUGCUCUAAUAACGGAGUGAUUACCGUCAUCCUCAAACAUAUAUCCCUGAUCGGGGCCGCUGCCACCUUGCGGCUCAGGGCGUCAGCCACUACGUUGGCCUUCCCUGGGUGAUAAAGGAUCUCACAAUCAUAAUCCUUUACCAAGUCUAGCCACCGCUACUGCCUCAUGUUAAGAUUCGGUUGAUCCAUGAGAUACCUCAGACUCUUAUGAUCCGUGUAGAUGGUACAACGGACCCUAUAAAGGUAAUGCCUCCAAAUCUUGAAAGCAAACACCACUGCCCUCAGCUCUAAAUCAUGCGUAGCAUAGUUAGCCUCAUGAGGCUUCAACUGUCUUGAGGCGUAAGCUAUCACACGGCCUCGUUGCAUCAACACUGCUCCCAUACCUGUGAUCGAAGCAUCACAGUAGACUACAAAAUCCUCUACUCCCUUUGGCAGGGUAAGGAUCGGUGCCUCGCACAAUCUCUGCCUGAGGGUCUCAAAUGCUGCCUGCUACUCAGGCCCCCAACGAAACACCACUGACUUCUUAGUCAGUCGGGUGAGCGGUACAACUACCUUGGAGAAAUCCUUGAUGAAUCUCCUAUAGUACCCUGCCAAACCUAGGAAGCUUCGAAUCUUAGAUGGAGAUCUCGGGACCUCCCACUGCAUCACGACCUCUAUCUUGGCCGGAUAUACCAGAAUACCCUUCUGAUUGACGAGGUACCCAAGAAACUUCACCUCGUGCAACCAGAACUCACACUUGGAGAACUUUGCGAAAAGUCUCUCCCUCCUUUGAAUCUCUAGCACCUCCCUCAGGUGCUCCUCAUCCUGCUCCUGAGUCUUGGAAUAAACCAAGAUGUCAUCAAUGAAUACUAUCAACGACCGAUCCAGCAACGGCCGACAUACGCGGUUCAUGAGAUCCAUGAAUGCGGUCGGAGCGUUGGUGAGCCCAAACGGCAUCACCACGAACUCAUAAUGACCAUACCGGGUCCUAAAAGCAGUCUUAUGCGCGUCCUCAUCUCUGACUCGCAUUUGAUGAUACCCGGAGCGUAAAUCGAUCUUGGAAAACCAAGACGCUCCAUACAGCUGAUCAAACAAAUCAUCUAUCCUCGGUAGUGGGUAACGGUUCUUCACCAUUACCUUAUUCAGCUCCCGAUAGUCUAUACACAUACGGUGCGACCAGUCCUUUUUCUUCACGAACAAAAUUGGUGCUCCCCAGGGCGAACUGCUCGGCCUGAUAAAACCCUUGUCUAGCAGCUCUUGCAGCUGAUGGGUUUUAGCCAUAAGAACAUCCUAUGUGCUCAUGCAUCCCUAAUGCUUGGAUCUAGGUUUCUCAAUUGUACAUGCAAUUCAUCCAAGACUUUAAACCCUAGUUCUAGCAUACAAUUAAUCAUAUUAACAUGUGAAAGGGUUUUUAGAUCUUACCUUGAUUGUUAUGUAGCAAUAACAAUCUCAAAUCCUCCUUGUAAUGACUUUAGAAAGCUUAGAGUCACAAGUGUCACUCCUCUAAUGGUUCACAAACACCAAGAGCAAGAGGAUGAAGAAUAAGGAGAGAGAAGGCUGCCCAAAACGUGUAGAAACCCUAGUGGAACUCUUAGCCACAUUUUUGGGGCUUAAGGGUACUAUAUAUACAUGUAGGCUAUUAGGGUUUUCAACUAGGAAACCCUAAUUUAACUGCUUAAGCCCUAAGCAGCUCAUGGACCCUUUUAGAAUAUCCCUUGAUGAUUUCUAAUGGGUUUCCCCAUAGAAUUCGUCCAACCUAUUAUUCCAAGGUGAUCCAUAGCCCAAAUGCAAUUAUAUUAUAAUUACAGUUCCAUUCCCUUAAGUUUAAUUAAUCUCUUUUAGCCACAAAAUUAAUUAUCAAUUAAUUCUUGACUAAUACUAAUUAAACAAUAUGAUUUCUCCUUUAAUAUAUUAUUCUCAUAAUAUAUUAAUAAAUCAUAAUUAAUCUUCUCUCUCCAUAAUUCAUCCUAUCAAGUUGCUUUGGUGAAGGCAACCCAAAAGGACCAUGCACCAUCGGGUCAAGUACAUACCAAAAUAGUUAUGGACUUAGACACUAAUCCAACAGUCUCCCACUUGGAUAAGUCUAAUAACUAUUCUGCGUAUGACUUCAGAUCCUGAUCUGCAAUCGUAGCUUUCAAAAGCCGCUGUCAACUCUGAUCUUAUCAGAUACACGUCCUUUAGAUAAGGGAUCAUAUAUUCCUCCAUUCUAGAUAUCGUAUAGACUGAGACAUGGAUUUAAAUCAUUCUCUCUGUCUAUGUGUUGUUUCCCGAUUUCCGAUUUAUGACGACUGACAACAGACUACAAUUGAACACAUCAAAUUAGUCCCGGCUUGGCCAAGCGCUUAGGUGUCAUCACUAAAUCAUCGAGGGGCCCACAGAUAUCGCUUUCAUCCUACUUUGGAUAAAAGGAACGGAUAAACUUUGAUUCAAUGCUUGCUUGCACUCACUUACCGAAUCACACACAAUAAUAUGUUUUAUAACACCAAGUUACUGGUGCGUUUACAUAUUAUCAAUGUGUAACCGACUCGCAAGAUACAACUCACACAUCUCGGUUUCAAGAAUAUAAGAUAUUAUCGUCUCACCAAUCACUCGUGAUAAAAUCCAUGAAGUGAUCCAAGUGAGCGUGGGUUUAAUCCAAUGCUCAAAUCAUAUUCAUAAGCACUCAUGAACGUUGCAGCAAACAUUUGCUUAUGUCUAAUACACUUUAGACAAUCCACACACCAAUUCACGACAGUCUUCAUUCAUACCUACUUCCAACAUAUGAACGACUGUGGUCCGUUCGAAUAAUUUGAUUGUUCUGAAUAAAUUUAAUUAUUCAGGAAGUCAAAACAUGCAAAGUGAAACACAAUAAUAAUACUAAUCCCAUAUGACCCCACACUCUAGGUAUAAAUAAAACAUUUUAUUUAAUCACCAUAUUGAUUACUGAUUAUUUGUUGUUUCAGGUAAUCAACUUCUUAUUUGAAUUAUUACUACACUUGUCCCUUGCUCUCAGCAUGUACACAAUGUUUACCUACGGUCCUUACUUUGUGAAAUAGAUCAAAUGAACACAUUUCCAAUCAUACUCGUUUCACAACUCCCAAUCCUUAUCAUAAGUAUAAGAAUAUCAAAUUCUUGUUACUUAUGCUAGAUUCUAACAUUUUAUGCAAUGAUUCUCUCGUAAAGUCAUAGCUCAAAAUCAUCACGACUUGGCCAAUCUCUAUCAGAAACAAUUCUAUAGAUAUGAUGUCUUUCACUCAAAGUACAUUCCUUUGAACAUCCUUCUUGCAUAAAAGUUUCUAAUCUAGACAUAGACUCUCAAUAUCCAACUCCCAAUAUGGAAACAUUUCCAUAUUUUCCAUAUGACAACUCAUUCUUAAUAGAAUCUUAUCUAUUCAUAAUAAUGUCGAUAUGGUCCAUCCAAUACCAUACUUCCAACUACUCACAAGCGACCAAUCCUCAGNGAUCCUCAGCAAGCUUUGGAUCAUCCUUUGAUAGUUGUUUAAUUAUCUUAGUGAAAACCGAUUCUUGUCCUUUUUCCCUCUUAAUGCGCUAGACAUUUGGAAAAUUUUAGAAUGCUUAAAUUUUAUAUCAUCUGCAAUCGAUCCUUUACCCGAAGCGUAUGGCAUACGAUGCAUAAUGUCUUACAUGAAGAUCUGAUAAUUUAUCAAUCUUCUGCCAUAAUAUUUUAUGUGCCACGUUCUCCUAAUUCGAACUAUAAAGAGGGAUGCCAUAAUCAUAAUCGAAGUUGAGAACACACUAUGUAUCAUUGACUAAAUUUAUUAAAAUUCCACAAUCUAAGCCUUUAGAUUUGAAAAUGAAGCAUAAUAUUCUCUCCCUUAAUUAUAGCAAAACAACUUUUCAAAGCUUCUUAAACUUAUUAAUCAUAGCAAAACAACUUAUUAAUCAAAGCUUCUUAAAAUGAAGCAUAAUAUUCUCUCCCUUAAUUAUAGCAAAACAACUUUUCAAAGCUUCUUAAACUUAUUAAUCAUAGCAAAACAACUUAUUAAUCAAAGCUUCUUAAAAUGAAGCAUAAUAUUCUCUCCCUUAAUUAUAGCAAAACAACUUUUCAAAGCUUCUUAAACUUAUUAAUCAUAGCAAAACAACUUAUUAAUCAAAGCUUCUUAAAAUGAAGCAUAAUAUUCUCUCCCUUAAUUAUAGCAAAACAACUUUUCAAAGCUUCUUAAACUUAUACACCUUUGCCUUAGAUAGCUCAUAUGUGUGUCAAAACAAUUUAGACUAAUUGCCAAAUCUCACAAUACAAAUUAUGGAAAGGGAUACCAUAACCAUAAUCAAAUUCAAGAAUACAAUUUUCACAAUCACUAUCUUCUUAAAAUCUCUCUUGGUGAAAGCAUUUCCUCACAGUCAUCUUCAUGAAAGAGGGAAUCUUAUGAAACUUAGAUUUUAAUGGUGUAUGUGUUCUUAUCCAUGCGAAUUUGUCAAAACCAAAUUUUGCGACAAAUCCAAACUCAUAUGGACCGAACUUUCUCAAUCUUGAUUUCUUGCCUUAUGGUAACACGAGUGCCCACCAUGUCUUCCAAGUAGUUAAGCAGCUCACCCUUUCCUAUCAAUGUACUUUCCAUUGAUCAAGGUGCUUGCCUUUUAUGCGUUCAAAUGAGAACUCAUAGAACUCACAUGCAUAAUUAACUCAAUUGGAAUGGCACAGAAACAAAAUAGUGUCAACACGAUAGGUUGUAAACCUCAACUCGUGUGCUAGUGAUGAUCGAUAAGGUUUUUUUUGAUUUGUUCUUGAAACCUUUCAAGACCAUUAAGACUCCCACUGACUCCUUGACAUAUAAGAUUCUCUUGUCAAUAAACAUUUCUUGACAAACAAAUAUUCAAGAGUUAGUGUAGUUUUUAUCAAAACACUUCAUAAAUUGGUCCUAGUUGGUCUUUGUCUUAUCCAAGACAUCACAACUUUCCACAUUUGAUGAAUGUUAUAAACCUUCUUAAUACUUGUCACUCAAUGUCACAAUCUUAACUCUAAGACUUGUUUUGGAACGAAGUAUGAUUGACUUCUUGAUUUAACCAUUUCUUCAAUUCUUGAUUCCUCUUCUCAGACAUACAAUUGUACUAAGACUCACUUAGAGGAUCAAUUGAGAUAUGGUUCUUAAUCAUUAAGACCUAUCAUAAAACAUAAUAAAAGGUACUCUCCCUUCUUCUUAGAAUAGAGAAACUUUUAUCUUUCUGCCUACUUGAUUCUUCUUUAUUCGUUCUGCUAUUUAUUGAAACUCUUUCAAUCAACUGAGAAUUACACUUAAUCUCAUAAGUAUAAUCAUAUUUACUUAACCUUAGUAAAUCAUGACGAAUAUCUUUGUUACUCUUGUGGUGGACUUGAUCAACACACAACUUUGUGUACUCGAUCUCCUAGUCCUUCACUUGACACUUUGUCAAUGAAUUAGUCUAAUUUCCAAAUAUGAAAUUUCUCAUUCAUCGUGCAACCAAGUUGCAUGAUUCCAAGUUUCUGUCCAAUUGAAACUUGGGCGAUGAGAAACUCUCCCUAUUUGGUAAAUUCUUGACAUUUCCACAAAUAACAUAAUUAAGAAUCAAAUCCAUUAUUGCUAAUAAUAGAAACAUUCAAACAUCAAUUUUUCAUACACGCCAUUGCAAGGAUAAAUAAAUAAUAUAAAAUCAAAAUUUAUUUUAUUGCGGAAAAAUUUGUCCUUACAAUGCAAUUCAAUUGAAAAACUAUGUUAAUACAUAUUUCUUAGCAAUCUUAUUCUAACUCCAAGUAGUAGCUCAAGAUUCUAAUCUUCAAGUAAUGCGAUCGAAAUCCAUUUCUUCACGAUUAGAUUCCGCUCACUUCUUCCCUUAAGCUUCCUCUCUUUUCUUCGAUCCUACAAGACAUCGAAAUGUAAUCUUAUCACAUCAUGUAUUAAGAAUCUAGAAUAGGAACUUAAAAGAGUUAGUUAAUGGAUUUUACCUAAAGCAGAGCCAUACGUUUUGACUCUCCCAUCUCUUAGAUCUCUUAGGUAAAUAGGGCAGCUUCGUCUCCAAUGCCCCUUCUCUUGGCAAUAAAAGCAAAUUGACUCUUUUGGAACAGCACACGGAACUACUUCUGACUUUGCCUUUCUCUUAUGAUCAAACUUUUCGAUCAUGGCAUGCCUUUCGUUGCCAUUGCCUAUAUCCAUAGAGGUCUGGAAGGCAGAUCCACCAAUCAACUUUGCUUUUCCAGUGCGCCAAAUCAUUGCUGAUUCAGCAGCAAUAAGCAUAUAGGUGAGAUCAAUGAGGGUUACGUCGUGGUUCAUCAUAUAGUACUCUCUUACGAACUCACUAUAUGAGUCAGGAAGUGACUGAAGAACCCAGUCAACAGCCAGCUCCUCACAGACAACAGAUCCCAACAUUCUUAACCUAUCAAUGUGUGACUUCAUCUCUAGGAUGUGUGCACACACUGACUUUCCUUCUUCAUGUUUACUUGCCAAAAGGGCUUGAGUGAGUUUGAACUUUUCAAUCUUUUGAACUUGUGGGUUAGGGAGAAUAAUAGGAGGAGGUGGAGGAAGUGAAGCAUGAUCUCGUGUUCCUCGAUCGAAUCGUGGAAUAUCAUCUUCAUGUGAAAAGCUUGUUCCACGGGAUUUGGGAAGACCAUAGUUGUCAUACUUUGACAUCUACAAAAUGGGAGAAAAAUUGAAUUCAAGUUAGUUGAUUGAUUGAGUCCUUAAUAAAUCACCCAAAUGAGAUAUUAAGGCUAGGACCCAACACAAUACUCUACAACCUAGAAAAGGGAUGUCGUAAUCUAGUUGCAGAAUAUUUGAAGGUAAGUGAAUGACGAUUCACUAAUUUCCACCAUGAAAAACGAAAAAGAAAUUUAUGUUUUAAAUCUAUGAAAACUCCUAGAUCCUUUGAGAUUCAUUGAACUUUUCAAUGGCAUGUUUAAAUCUCGAUAUGCCCCUCUAGUUUGUGACUGGGAUACCGAGGAUCACAAAGCGGGUGUGAAUAACCAUGCAAACUUACAUGCUGCCCCCACAUGUUACAGUCACCUAUUCGAUGUACCGGUUAACCACACACGCUCCACCGAACUAUGACAAACUUUGAGUCACCCUUUGCUACCUUUACUUAGAACCAUUUAGCGUGUCGGUUAACCACACACGCUCCACUAACAUCUUCACAAGGGCACAAAGUGUAAUUUCAUGGAAUUGCAUCAAUUCACUUUUGCCUAAAGUAACCAAGAUUGGGAAUUUGUAAAAGCAUUUAGUUACUUUUAUACUUCAGUAUACUUAUAAUGGAAAGUUUCUGUCCUAUCCUACCCGUUCGCCUAACAACCCUCCACUAGUCAAGAGUGCGGUGAGUAAGAGUGGAUACCCAUUCAAUUGCCAUUUUAUAUGCAAUUUACUUAAACACCCCUUAUAGACCAGCUUCGUGAAUGAGGCCUACUAACGGUAAGACCGACUUUUACUCAUACAUAUAUAUUAUACUUUUAAUGUUAUAUAUAGUAUAGGGUGUAUUUUACACUUUUAAAAUACUAGGUGGUCUAAUUUAAUAACUAUACUUUUAAUUUAAUUAAAUGUAAAACAAAACUUUAUAGGUUUAUUAAAUCCCUUUUAACUAUACACCUUAAUUAAUUAAUAAAACUAUAAGGGUGUGAUUUGAACCUUUUCAAAACAAUACUAGGGUUUUAGAAUUUAACAUUUCUAAAUUAAACUUUUAAUCAACUUUUAAAUUCCAAAACUUGAGGGCAAGUUUUGAAACAUUUCAAAACAUUAGGGUUUCAACUAUUUAAAUUUCAAAACAAAACCUUUAAGUUCAAAUUGAAACCAUAAAACUUACAUGGGUACAAAUGAAACUUUUCACAACACAAGGAUCAAAUAACAAAUAAUAGAAAUUAAGCAAUUAAUUUUGUCAGUAUCUAUAUUUGACCUAAUUUCAAUUUCUUGCAAGAUAAGUUACCCAAUUAAUACAAAUAAUCAAUCUUUAAUCAUAUAAGGAAGUUAUUAUCCAAUCAAUUGGUAAUUAUCUUUUGUUUAAUCAAGGAUAUACUGAAAUAUAAGAUAAAAUUCGAAUUAUAAAGACCCAAAACAAUUAAGGCAAGUAUCCUCAAGCAAAACAGCAAGAAAUCCUGAAAUCUGCUCUUACUGACGCUCGAACUCGCCGAGUCCCUCUAUGGACUCGCUAAGUUGGAGCAACUCAUCGAGUCCACAUUGGAACUCGCCGAGUUAAUCAGUCAGGGAGCCAAAAAUCGAUUUUGAAGCUUGAACAAAUAACCAAGGCAUCAAUACAAUAGAAACCAAUCAAGGCUCUGAUACCACUGAUGGGUUUUAGCCAUAAGAACAUCCUAUGUGCUCAUGCAACCCUAAUGCUUGGAUCUAGGUUUCUCUAUUGUACAUGCAAUUCAUCCAAGCUGGUAGUGAUGGGUUUUGGCCAUAUGAACAUUCCUGUGUGCACAUGCAAACCCUAAUGCUUGGAUCUAGGUUUCUCUAAUUAAACAUGCUUUCAAUCCAAGACUUCUAAUGACUAAUUAGGUAUAAGAACAAUACAAAAUCAGAUCUAGAAGUUUACCUUUGAAUCUCUUGUUUGAUCUUGUUGUCUUGGAGCUCUAGAGUCACAAUUGUCACUCCUCUAAUGGCUUACAAACACCAACUAGCAAGGAGGAUGAUUUGAGAGAGAGGAGAGGGAUUAGAAAUCGGCCAGGGUUUCUUUGCUUUAGUAGAGGUGCCGAUUUCCCAUGCCCUAGGGGUCUAUUUAUACUUGUAAGGCUCCUAGGGUUUCACCCUUAAACCCUAGUUGGAUAAUCUUUCCUUAAAGCAAUCCAAAUCAUUUCCAAAGAUAAGCCUUGGACGAAUUUGAGGCUAUCUCAAGCCCUAGAAUCGUUCAACCCUUAUCCCUUAAGGAUUUACAGCCCAAAGUGCAACUAUCAAACAAUUGACAGUUUAUACCCUCUUAUUUAAUUAAUCCCUUUAAGUCACCAAAUUAAUACUAAUUAAUCUAUGACUUAUAUUAAUCAAAUAACAAUAUUAUUAUUCCUUAUAUUAUUCUCAUAAUAUAUUAAUAAUAUUUAUUCUCUCAUAAUAAAUCAUCCUAUCAAGUUGCUAUGGUGAAGGCAACCCAAAAGGACCAUGCACAAUCAGGUCAAACACUUGCCUAAUAUAAUUGCAACCUUAAACACUAUUCCAACAGGUAGUUACCUAUAUUACUGAUUCCCUGAGAAAUACAAGUGGUUUCGAAAAAGUGUCAACAGUAAAGUUGGUGAGCUCAUAAAUGUUUUGUACUGAAAAAGUAUGUCUUUUUGGAAGAAAAUCGAUGAACGUGGCUUUCAGAAAAUCCAAUAUUUUCCACAUAUAGUUUGAAAAGUUCCCAAGGUUGGAGGGCGUUAGUAUCUUUCGUAUUUAAAUGAUAAAGAUAAGUUUUGUAUUCAAAAUAAUGUAAACACUGAAUGCAUGUAUGAAGCUCGUAAAUCAAGCUUGUUUUUAUACUUUCGUGUGAGUCUUAUAACCAUACUAUUGACACAGACUGCCUGUAACAACAUUCUUCAGGUGUUGUAGUGUUAUGACAUUUGUCACCCCAGACCUGCCGGUCUAACUGUAGCUAACAAUUUAGGUGCGGGGUUGUCAAUNGCUAACAGUUUAGGUGCGGGGUUGUCAAUCCCGUAUAGAUCUAUACACAAGUAUCACGCUCUCCCUCCAAGAGAUUAUGGCUUAUAAUACAGGACUUGAAAUGCAUACAUAAAAGUACAUUGAAGUUUGAAUAUCUCACAUCAGUUAGUAUAAAUAGAUUUACGAUAAGAAAGUAUUUAUUUCACUUUAGAAGAAAGUAUUUUGUUUUUCAAGAUGUAUACGUAAGAAUGUAUGAAUAACUCACAAACUAUACCCAUUAUAGUUUUUCAAAAAGUAUGUUCCAUUUGGUGAAAAUAACUUGGUGAUAUACUAAACUUUAUACGUAAAGUAAGAUGUUGGUAUCGAAUAAUAAUAAGAUAGAUGUUGCAUUUAUAUAAAACGAUACGUUUUCUUGUAUUGUACUUGUAUUCCCCCCUAAAACAUGAAAAGACUUGAAAAGUAGGGGUAUGAACUCACUUGUUCGGUUUCAAGAGAGCGAGACUAGAGUCGGGCAGAACUUCAACUGUGGAAAGCUACGUCUUCGAGCUUCUCCGGGAUCUUGGUAGCGUAGAACCUUCGUCGGGGGUUCGAGUCUGUAACCGAGGGUGUCAGGAUGGUCUCUGGUACGUAAAAGUGUGUGAGUGUGAGUGAAACUUUGAGUGACGUGUGCUCAAAUUCAGAGCUUAUGCCUUCUAUUUAUAGGGCUGAAAAUGCGAGUACGCUGGGCGUACCACCGGAGUACGCUGGGCGUACGCGUUACGCUGGGCGUACUUCGGUUACGCUGGGCGUAACUUUGCGUCAUGUCUUACGACUCGGGUCUAGCUAGUCAUGGAGCUUGCAGCUGAUGGGACUCGACCCUGCACCUGAGUAUGCUGGGCGUAAUCCUGAAUUACGCUGGGCGUAAUUCUGGCUUCCGUCUUCUAAAUUCCGUAACUUUCGCGUACGGGCUCUGUUUUUCGCAUUCUUUAUAUCCACGCGUAGGUGAGAUUAUGUUCUACAACUUUUAUUUAGACUCCGUCGGCUAGUUUUGACUUUAUUUUUAAUGCUAUGUUUUUAAUAAACCGGGACUACUAAAGUCCGUUAAAAAUUCAUAACUUCUUUAUCCGACGUCUGUUUUCGUUUGUCUUUUUAUCAUCUUACUCCUAUUGUGGAGACCUUCUACUCUUGUUUAUGUUGUGUUAGCUAAAUAUCGAUCGAUUUUCAAUUCGAGUUUUUAGCUCUCUACUACUAUUACGAAACUUAGAAAAUUCGUAACUUCUUCAUACGAGGUCCAGUUUAGGCGAUCUUUUUAUGUACGUUUACAGUUUAACGAACUCUACAACUUUUGUUUAGAUACUUAAGGCUAACAUACAUUUUAUUGGAAUUUCACUUUUUACAUUAUAUAGUGUUUUACCGGGUGUGUCGUAAAUAUUUGAGUGGUUAUAGUUUCUUCAAUAUAAUCGGGUUUCGAAUGUUUUUUAUGUUUUUGGAAAUCUUGGCACGAUAUCUAACAUUUGAUGCAUCCCAAUUUAGAUAUUUUGAACACUCUAUUUUUGAGGUUAAUUUCGUUGAUUCCUAAUAGUUUUUGUUGUAUUUGACGUUUGAGUGUUACAUUGCUUUUGGAAAAAUAUAGGGUUGUCACAUCAUCCCCCAGUUAGAGGAAUUUCGUCCGGAAAUUUAAUCUAAGACUGAGUUUACAUGUUAGGGAAGAGAUACGGGUACUUUUGUUUCAUCUAAUCCUCGCGUUACCAGGUGUAUUUAGGUCCUCGCUUGGCGCUCCAGCGGACCUUUGCAAUAGGUAUGCGGCUUUGUUUAGCCCUUUUAAUUUCCCGAUCCAUGAUCUCUACUGGUUCUUCUACGAAUUGGAGAUUCUCAUUUAUUGCAAUUUCGUCUAGAGGGAUGACAAGGGUCUCAUCGGACAAGCACUUCUUUAGGUUUGAUAAGUGAAAGGUAGGGUGUACGUUGUGGAGUUCUGAGGUAAUCGAAGUUUGUAAGCCAUCGGACCGAUCCUGGCAAGGAUCUCGAAUGGUCCAAUGUAUCUUGGGUUCAGUUUCCCACGCUUUCCGAAACGUAUUAACCCUUUCCAGGGUGAGACUUUUAGUAGGACACGGUCUCCAACCUGGAAUUCCAAGGGUUUCCGUCUUUUAUCCGCAUAACUAUUUUGUCUGUCCCUUGAUGCNGAUGCUUUCAUCCCAGAUCUGAACAAUCUUCUCCGUAGUUUCCCUUAUGAUUUCUGGUCCAGUGAGUGUGUUGUAUGUUGCUUGUCCUCUUGCUAGUUGUGAGUCACCUACUUCAGCUCAGCACAGAGGUGAUCUGCAUUUACGGCCGUAGAGGGCUUCGAACGGGGCAGCCUUGAUGCUAGUGUGGUAGCUAUUGUUGUACGAAAACUCGACCAAGGGUAGGUGGGUGUCCCAUGCUUUGCCAAAAUCGAUUACGCAAGAUCUCAACAUAUCCUCUAAGGUUUGUAUGGUUCUCUCACUCUGGCCGUCAGUUUGUGGGUGAUAAGCAGUACUCAUGUCUAGUCUUGUUCCUAGAGAUUUUUGCAGCGACUGCCAGAACCUUGAGGUGAAUCUACUAUCUCGGUCUGAGAUAAUGGAUAUGGGCAUACCACGCAGCCGUACAAUCUCUCUGAGGUAUGUUCUAGUUAGUUUCUCCAAUUUAUUCGUUUCUUUAAUUGGUAGGAAGUGUGCUGAUUUAGUUAACCUGUCGACGACCACCUAGAGGGUGUCGAGUCCGCUUGUUGUCUUGGGUAAUUUGGUUAUGAAAUCCAUGUUUAUCCGCUCCCACUUCCAUUCGGGUAUUUUUGGUUGUUGCAACAAUCCCGAGGGCUUUUGGUAUUCGACCUUGACUUUCGUGCACAUUAGACAUUUUCUCACGUAGGUAGCACUUUCGGCUUUCAUGUUCGGCCACCAGUACAGUUUCUUGAGGUCGAGAUACAUCUUAUCCGAGCCAGGAUGUAUGGAGUAUCAUGUCUUAUGGGCUUCGUUCAUGAAGACUUCUCUAAAUCCGCCAAACUUCGAUGUCCAGAUCCGAUCCAUGAAGUAACGAACUCCAUCAUUCUUGACUUCAAGCUUCUUAUCCAUUCCCCUUAAGGCUUCCCAUGUCACAUUUUCAGAUUUUAAGGCUUCUACUUGGGCUUCCCUGAUUUGCGUGGACAGGUGUGAAUGGAUUGUCAUAGUUAGAGACUUCACUUUGCGUCCCGAGUAUUCCUUCCGGCUGAGUGCAUCUGCCACCACGUUAGCCUUUCCGGGAUGAUAUCGAAUUUCGCAUUCGUAAUCGUUUAGUAGUUCUACCCACCGUCUUUGUCUCAUGUUGAGUUCUUUCUGGUUGAGGAUAUGCUGGAGGCUUUUAUGAUCGGUGAAGACUGUACAUUUCGUGCCGUAGAGAUAGUGCCUCCAUAUCUUUAGAGCGAAAAUGACUGCUCCUAGCUCGAGAUCGUGCGUCGUGUAGUUUACUUUGUGCGUCUUUAGUUGUCUUGAGGCGUAGGCGAUGACCUUCCCUCGUUGCAUCAGGACACACCCAAGUCCUUGGUUUGACGCAUCACAAUAGACAACGAAGUCCUCUGUUCCUUCGGGUAAGGUUAGAAUGGGCGCACUACAUAAGGCUCGCUUUAGUGUUUGAAACGCGAUGUCUUGUUUUUCUCCCCAUUCGAAGGUCACGCUCUUCUGAGUUAGGGUGGUAAGUGGCUUAGCAAUCUUCGAAAAGUUUUGUAUGAACCUUCGGUAAUAUCUGGCGAGUCCCAAAAAUUACCGGAUUUCUAUUGGGGUUCUUGGGAUCGUCCAAUUCUCUAUUGCCUUGAUCUUAGAAGGAUCCACAUGUAUCCCUUCUUUGCUUACUACGUGACCUACGAAAUCUACUUCCCGAAUCCAAAACUCACACUUUGAAAAUUUUGCGUAUAGUUUUUCUGCCCUCAAUGUUUCCAAGACUUGGCAGAGGUGUUGGCUGUGCUCUUCCUUGCUUCUUGAAUAGAUGAGUAUAUUAUCUAUGAACACGAUCACGAAUUUAUCCAGGAAGGGAUGACAUACCCGGUUCAUUAAGUCCAUGAACACUGCUAGUGCAUUUGUCAAUCCAAAGGGCAUCACUACAGACUCAUAGUGACCAUAGCGUAUUUGGAAUGUCGUUUUGGGGAUGUCCCCUUCCAGCACUCGCAGUUGGUGAUAACCGGAUCUUAGAUCGAUUUUUAAGAAGUAGCUUGCUCCCUGUAGUUGAUCGAACAAGUCGUCUAUGCGCGGCAGGGGAUAUCGGUUCUUGAUCGUGAGUUUGUUCAGUUCCCGGUAAUCGAUGCACAUGCGAAAAGAUCCGUCCUUCUUCUUCACGAAUAGGACCGGUGCUCCCCAUGGUGAGAAGCUCGGUCUGAUGAAGCCCUUGCUCAGCAGCUCAUUUAAUUGACUGGACAGUUCCUGCAUCUCGGAUUGGGCUAGACGGUAAGGCGACUAUGCUACUGGAGUAGCUCCGAGAAUUAAGUCGAUUCUGAACUCGACUUGGCGUUCUGGUGGGAUCCCUGGGAGAUCUUCUGGGAAGACGUCUGGGAAGUUGCAGACUUCUGAAAUGUCUUUAAUGUUCUUCGGUUCUUGUUUCUGGUCUACUACGUGGGCUAGAAAGGCAUGAUAUUCUUUGCGAAGAUAUUUUUGUGCUUUUAACACAGGAGAUGAUUUAUAAAUUUGUACUAGGUUUGUCACCAUAAAUGACAAGAUUUUUGCCGUCUGGCAGAUUGAGGUGAACGACCCUUUCAUGACAAAGUAUAUCGGCAUGGUGAAGACUUAAACAGUCCAUACCGAUGAUGACAUCAAAACUUCUUAUCGAAAUGGGCAUAAGAUUGAUUUGAAAUAAGUGCUCGUUUAAAUUUAAUGUGCACCCUACCUACAUAUCGCUUGCGCUUUCCGUUUUACCGUUUUCCAUUUCUACAGUGAAUAUUUUAUUGAGUGGUUGGGGUUUUUGAUUAAGUAGGUGUUUGAAUUUAUGACUCACAAAACUUCUCUCCGCACCGCAAUCAAAGAGUAUGCAUGCAUAAAUGUUGUCGAGGAGAAACGUACCCGUAACCACCGUGGGGUCAGCUAUUGNUACCCCCCGCCCCCCCACCCCCGCCAGUAUUCUUUGCCUUGGGGCAAUCCCUCUUGAAGUGCCCAGUUUCUCCACACCCAUAACAUGCCAGGCUUAUUCCAGUACCAGGAACUUGAGUGAUUGGUCGCGCCGGUGCCUUACAGAAACUGGCAGUGUGCCCUUUCCUGUCGCGGUUUUUACAGUGCAUCUCGCGCCAAUUACCGUGGUGAUGGUAGUUGCAUUUGCUGCACUUUGGUAGGUUCCCAGCAUAUUGUUUCGUUGGCGUAGGGGUAGCAGGAGUUGUAGUGGGAGCAGUAGCGGCAUGAACCGCCACCAUUUGUUUCUUUGAAGAUUCUUGCGAAGUUUGCCCCUUUCUCUUGUUCCAGAACUUCUUCUUGCUGUUGUUGUUGGCAUUGUUAUCGUUGUUGUUGUUCCCUUUGGUUGGUUCAGCGACGAUAGUUGUGACGCCUUGACAGACACCAUGAUCAACGAGAGAUUGCGCCAGUUCCUUGGCGUUGUCGAAUGUCAUGGGUUUGGAGGCUAACACACUCCCUCGAAGUUGGGGUGAUAGUCCCCAGAUAUACCUUUCCACCUUUUGGCUUUCCAGGAUCAACAUUCCUGGGCAAAGUAUUAUCAAGUCACUGAAUCUGUUGGUAUAGCCUGCGAUGNGCCAUCGUAAGGCCCCACAGUUACUGUUCAAGCUUCUGAAUCUCGCCUCUUGGGCAGUACUCUCGUAGGAGCAUUCGUUUCAAUUUUUCCCAACCCAUGGAGUUCGCCACCACUAAGGUUAGUGUCUUGACGUGGCCGUUCCACCACGCCAGGGAUCGUUCGGAGAAAGUAAAGGCGGCAAAUUUUACUUUGCUUUCUUCAGGGCACGCGCAAAUUUCGAAUACAGCUUCCGUUUUCUCUAUCCAUUGGGAUAGAGCCAUCACUCCCCCAGUGCCAUAAAAGGGAAUAGGUUUUCCGUUGGUGAAGUCUUUUUAAGUACAUACUCCGGAAUGGCCUUGGCUUUGGCUAUUUGUAAAGCUGUUUGUUCCUCCUCCUGACCCGUUGUUGCUCAUUUGAGCCAUCGUUGCGGUUACAGCGGCUGUUACAGCAGUUUGAAACAUAGCGGCAUCCAUAAUUGGAGGAGGUGGUGGAGGUGGUGUUGGAGCUGAGUUUCUGCGUGAUGAUCUACGAGGAGGCAUGUAAUGAUAGAGAAAUAAUAAUGAAGACUAUAUGUUUCUAAUGAUUUGACAAUCGUGUACUAGAUGGUUAGUUGUAUCUUGUAAUUUGUUUUGACUUUAGUUUAUGGUUUCAAAGUAGAUAUAGCAAUUUAUAAGUUUCAAGAGGUAUGUAAAGAAGUACUUCAUAUUUAUAUAUAUGUCACACAUACGGUGCGUUACAUUAUGCUUCACUUUUAGGAAAAUUUGACCUAUCUAGAGGUCUCCGAUUACAAGUUCAAAGGAAAUAAGAAAACUUUAUCCGAGGUCCUAUCCUAUAUCAAAAUUGUUGGAGUUGGGCAAGUUCUACUUGCGGCAUGUUGUACGUUUGGAGCUAGACUCAGCAUCCGACUGCUUGACUCCCAUUAGGCGCCUUUCAAGAACUGCUUGUUGUUCCUUCAUCUCUCUUAUUUCUGCCAAUGCUGUCACCAUUUGGUUUUGAAGCGUUCCUGUGUGGAGUUGGGUACUUUCAUGUAGUCCGUUCAGACAACGGAUGUCUGCGGCGUUACCCUGUGUAGCAGCAUUGACCUCACGGAUUCUGGGCGCUUGCAUGUCUGACUGGUAGUUCUGGGUGGCUAUUGUGCCCACAAGGACGGGAAGCGCUCGAUCGGCUGAGCCUCCUCCAUUGACAUUGUAAAAAUCCCGACACAUGCCGAAGGGAGGGCGUACACCUAGUUGACGGCUCCAAUGGUAGAGGUGGCUUCCCUAAAUGGGAAUGGGACCUGGGUAAUAUGGUCUGACUUCGGGAGGACGAGGAACAGGAGGUUUGAUUACUUCCGGCUCGGAGUCUGUUCCAUCAGUAUCUUCUUCUUCCUCCUCGACCUCCUCGUCGACUUCGAAUUCCUCCCCGACUUCCUCUUCGACUUCAAAUUCUUAUUCGACUUCCUCUUCGAUUUCCUCCGGGUCUUCCUCUGAAUCUUCUUCUAUCCAUCCACCAUUACCUUGGUUUGGGUAGUAGGGAUCUCCCGGUAUAUGGAAUCCGGCCAUUUGUAUGUACUAGGAUAGAGGUAUGAGAAUUUUAUAAGAAAAGAAAUUUCUAUUUAACGGCAUCCUAAGUUUAACUAUAUCUUAAUGUGUGCAAGUUUUUCAUUGUCCUAUUAUCCUAUAACAAUACUCCUAUAGUAUUUCAAAUUUGCGAGUCUAAAACUUUUAUUUGGUAAGUUUUUGACUUGUUUUUCACUACGACCAUUCCUCGACGUACGUUGGUCAAAUCCAGGAUAAAUAUAGUUGAUCAGGUUAUAUUUAUUCUCGAUUUGAUUACAUACCACGAGGCCCAAUCGUAGUGUCGCAACUUGUCUUAAUAUUUUUUUAGAAAAUUUUGUUAUGAUACGAGAUCGAUGCUGAUGGGUUUUAGCCAUAUGAACAUCCCUAUGUGCACAUGCAACCCUAAUGCUUGGAUCUAGGUUUCUCUAAUUGAUCAUACAUUGAAUCCAAGACUUCUAAUGGCUAAUAUACAAUAGCAACAAUAUGAAAUCAGAGAUUAGAAGUUUACCUUGAAUCACUUGCUUGAUCUUCUUGUCCUUGAGGCUUUAGAGUCACAAUUGUCACUCCUCUAAUGGCUUACAAACACCAACUAGCAAGAAGAUGAUUUAGGAGAGAGGAGAGGGGAGGAAGAAUUCGGCCAGGGUUUCCUUAGAGACAAGUGUGUCGAAUUCCCUCAACCCAUAGGGUCUAUUUAUACUAGUAAGGCUCCUAGGGUUUCACCCUUAAACCCUAAUUGGAUAACUUAAGUCCUAAGAAAUCCAAAUCCUUUCCAUGAUAAGCCUUGGAUGAUUUUAUGGUUAUCCUUAGCCCUAGAAAUCGUCCACCCCUUACCCUUAAAGGAUAUUUAGCCCAAAGUGCAACUAUCAAACAAUUGACAGUUUAUACCCCUUUAUUUAAUUAAUCUCUUUAAGUCACCAAAUUAAUUCCAAAUUAAUUUAUGACUUAUAUUAAUCAAAUAAUAAUAUUAUUACUCCUUAUAUUAUUCUUAUAAUAUAUUAAUAAUAUUCCUUCUCUCAUUAUAAAUCAUCCUGUCAAGUUGCUAUGGUGAAGGCAACCCAAAAGGACCAUGCUCAACCGGGUCAAAUACUUGCCUAAUAUAGUUGUAGCCUUAGACACUAUUCCAACAGUCUCCCACUUGGAUAAGUCUAGUAACUAUAUAUACAAGUAUAUUCCGAUUAGCAAUCGUAGCUCUCAAAGACGCUGUCAAACUCUGAUCUAAUCAAUCUUGUCCUUUAGAUAAGGGAUCGUACAGUCCUCUGUUUAGAUAUCAUGCUGACAAUUCUAUGGAACAAUUUGUCUAGCAUUUGGUUUCUCGAUCUCCGAUUUAUUUGACAUAGAACUUAAUCGAACACAUCAAUUCAGUUCUGACCGGGCCCGACACAUAAGUCAAAUCAAAUCAUCGAGCGGCCGAGAUAUCGCUUUUACCUUCUUAGAUAAAAGUUACAGAUAAACUUCGACUUAUAUGCAUUUACUUAUUCAUUAACCAACUAUACACAACAAUACGUUUUAUAACACCAAGUUACUGAUGCGUUUUCGUAUUAUCAAUGUACAAUCAAUUAACAAAUAAUAAACCAUAUAUCUAGGUUUUAAGACUAUAUGAUAUUAUCGUCUUGCGAUCACCUUUUAUAUCGUAUUCCAUAAGGUGAUUCCAGCAAGCGCGGGUUUAUUCCAAUGCUCAAAACUAGUUCAUAAGCACUCAUGAACGUUGCAGCAAUCCUUUGCUAUGUCUAACACCAUUUAGACAUUCUACACACCAAUUCAUGACAAUCUUCAUUCAUAUCUACUCCCAACAUAUGAACGAUUGUGGACCAUUUGAACAAUUCGAUUAUUCCUAAUAAACUCAAUUAUUCUGGAAGUCAAAACAUGCAAAGUGAAACAAUAGCUAAACAAUUAACAUAAGAUAGUAACAUUACUCAUAAAUAAAACUCCUUUAUUUAAUCAUCAAAUGUUAAUUACAUUUAUCUAUUACACGUUUCUAAUACUAUCUAAUCUAUGCUAAUAUCAUCCUUCAGCCCAAUACUCCUAGCAUGCUGCAAGUGCUUAACCCUACUCAGUCCCUUCGUAAGCGGAUCUGCUGGGUUAUCUUCUGAUGAUAUCCUCUUCACUACGAGUUGUCCUUCUUCUACACGAUGUCUGAUGAAGUGAUAUUUUCUGUCGAUAUGUCUUGAUCUACCAUGAUCCCUCGGUUCCUUGGUCAAGGCAACCGCUCCUUCGUUAUCACAGAAAAUCUCCAUGGGCUCCUUUAUGGCAGGUACAACUCCAAGAUCACCGAUGAAGUUCUUUAGCCAUAUUGCCUCCUUCGACGCUUCGCUCGCUGCAAUGUACUCUGAUUCGCACGUUGAAUCAGCUACGGUUUCCUGCUUGGAACUCUUCCAUGUCACUGCUCCUCCAUUUAGGGUAAAGACCCAGCCCGACUGCGAACGGUAGUUGUCCCUGUCGGUCUGAAAACUGGCGUCACUAUACCCUCGCACCUUCAAGUCAUCACUCCCUCCGAGGACUAAGAACCAUUCCUUCGUCCUCCGAAGGUACUUAAGGAUAUUCUUCACCGCAAUCCAAUGUGCUUUGCCAGGAUUCCCUUGAUAUCUGCUAACCAUGCUCAAAGCGAAGGCUACAUCAGGGCGAGUACAAGUCAUAGCGUACAUGAUUGAGCCAACUGCGGAAGCGUAUGGUACUCGGCUCAUUUCUGCUAUCUCAGCUUCGGUACUCGGACUUUGAGUCUUACUCAAUUUGGCAUUACUUUGUAUCGGUAGUUCUCCCUUCUUUGAGUUUUCCAUACUAAAACGUUUUAGUACCUUCUCUAAGUAAGUAUUCUGACUAAGUCCAAUUAGUCUCUUACUUCUUUCUCUUACUAUCCUUAUUCCCAAAAUGUAAGAAGCCUCUCCGAGGUCCUUCAUAGCGAAGCACUUCCCGAGCCAGGACUUAACCUCCUGCAGAGUCGGGAUGUCGUUUCCUAUGAGUAAUAUGUCAUCGACAUAUAGAACGAGGAAGCUUACUAUACUCCCACUGGCUUUGACAUAUACACAAGAUUCGUCUUCGCUUCGUACAAAUCCAAACUCUUUGACUUUCUCAUCGAAGCAAAGAUUCCAUCUGCGAGACGCUUGCUUAAGUCCAUAAAUGGACUUCUCAAGCUUACACACUCUAUUCGGAUGCUUCGGAUCCACAAACCCCUCUGGCUGAGCCAUGUAAACAUCCUCAGCCAACUUUCCGUUAAGGAAAGCGGUCUUGACAUCCAUUUGCCAAAUCUCAUAAUCAUGAAAUGCGGCAAUAGCUAGCAUCACUCUAAUAGAUUUAAUCUUCGCAACUGGUGAGAAGGUCUCAUCAUAGUCAACUCCGGGAGUUUGAGUAAAGCCCUUCGCAACCAAUCGCGCUUUAUAUGUGUGUACGUUUCCAUCCACGUCGGUCUUCUUCUUGAAGAUCCAUUUGCACCCAACGGUCUUACGUCCGGGCACAUAAUCAACCAAAUUCCAAACUUGGUUAUCAUACAUGGAUUGGAUCUCGCUAUCCAUUGCCUCUUUCCAUUUUGCAGACUCCGGGCCUGCCAUGGCUUCCUUAUAGCUAUUAGGUUCAUCAAGAUUUACUAGUGUACCAUCACUAAUAUACGUGUCCCCUUCGGUAGUAAUAUGAAAACCAUAAAACUGGGGAUGAACUCUAACUCUAUCGGAACGUCUAAGAGGUAAGGAUUCGUCAAUCGGUUCAACCGGAGUUUCCUCCUCGGGUUGAGUGCCAGCGGUAGAGGUUCCUUCAUCUAUCGACUCUUGAAUCUCUUCAAGUUCGAUUUGCCUCCCACUGUCUCCUUGGCUUAUGAGUUCUCGCUCUCGGAAAACUCCUCUCCUCGCAACGAAGACAACAUUGUCCUUCGGUCUAUAGAAGAGAUAUCCAAAGGAUGUCUGCGGGUAGCCGAUGAAAAUACAUCGCUCACUUCGAGGUUCAAGCUUGUCGUGAGUAUCUCGUCUUACGAAAGCCUCGCAACCCCAAACCUUGAUAUGUGCCAACGAGGGAGCUUUCCCUGUCCACAUCUCGUGAGGUGUUUUGGCAACCUUCUUAGUAGGGACUCGGUUAAGGAUAUGGGCGGCAGUCUCUAAGGCAUACCCCCAAAAAGAGAUAGGUAGUGAAGCACGACUCAUCAUAGAGCGAACCAUAUCCAAUAAGGUUCGAUUACGCCUUUCUGCCACACCAUUCAACUGCGGUGUCCUAGGAGGCGUCAAUUGUGAAACUAUUCCACACUCCUUGAGAUAAUCGUGGAAUUCAAGACUUAGGUACUCUCCUCCUCGAUCGGAUCGAAGCAUCUUGAUUUUCCUGCCCAAUUGAUUCUCCACUUCAUUCUUGAACUCUUUGAACUUUUCAAAGGUUUCUGACUUUUGCUUGAUUAAGUAGAUAUACCCAUAUCUACUAUAGUCAUCGGUAAAAGUCACAUAGAAGCGGUUCCCAUCCUUCGUGGUUGAUCUAAACGGUCCACAUACAUCGGUAUGUAUUAGGUCCAAUAGACCCUCACCCCUUUCACAUGUACUUGUGAAGGGUGACUUAGUCAUCUUUCCAAGCAAACAAGACUCGCAUGUGUCAUCUUCCCUAAGGUCGAAUGACUCCAACACUCCAUCCUUUUGGAGUUGGGCUAUGCGCUUCUUGUUGACAUGUCCAAGACGACAAUGCCACAAGGAUGCUCUAUCCAUACCAUUGGAAGAAUCCAUGCAUAAAACAUCAUUUCCUAAGUUAUCUACAAUCAUAACAGUUUCAUAAAUUCCAUUACACGGUAUUGCUUCAAAAUAUAAGACACCAUUUAGAUAAGCAAGAAUAGAACCAUUCUCAUUAUUAAAAGAAAAUCUAAAACCUUGUCUAAACAAACCAUGAAAUGAAAUGAUGUUUCUAGCCAUUUCUGGCGAAUAGCAACAAUUGUUCAAAUCUAAAGAUAAACCAUUCCUAAGCAUUAAAGAAUACACUCCAAUCUUGGUCACAGGCGACGAUCUUCUGUUCCCCAUGAUUAGAUUUAUUCUUCCAUGCUCCACAUCCCUAUUUCUUCUUAGUCCCUGCAAAUCAGAACAAAUGUGGUAACCACAACCGGUAUCAAGGACCCAAGAAAUAGAAUGAGAUGAGUCAUUAGAUUUAAUUGUAUAUAUACCUGCGAAAGAUGGCUUGAUCUUUCCUUCCCUGAUGGCUUGCAGGUAGUCUGGGCAGCUUCUCUUCCAAUGCCUUAUUUUAUGGCAAUGAUGGCACUCUGCCUCCUUAGGGUUAGGACAGGGUUUAGCAGGAUCAACUUUGGUCCCACUAGAACAGGAACCAUCUCGGGACUUUCCCUUGCGGUGGCUCUUAGACGGAGCCUUCCUCUUCUUGCCUCUUCCUUGCCCAAUGGCCAAAACAGGAGCAGCGGGUAGAUUGGGAGCGGGUGCAACAGACUUGUCCUUGAGGUUGCUUUCAGCAACCCNAAGGAGUCCUUGGAGCUUGCUUAGGGUGACCUCUUCCUUGUUCAUGUGGUAGGUCAUCCUAAAUUGAUUGUAACACGGAGGCAAAGAGUGAAGCACCAUGUCGAUCGCCAAGUCUUCCCCAAAGUCAACAUUCAACUUGCGAAGACGAUCGACAUACCUUUGCAUCUUUUGCAGGUGCACGGUAAGAGAUUCUCCAUGACCCAUUUUAGCGGAAAUCAUGUUAGUGAAAAUCUCGUAACGCUCUUGCCUCGCGUUCUGGUGGUAUCUCUCCAACAAGUCUUGGUGCAUUUCAUACGGAUACAUGUCCUCAUAGGACUUUUGGAAUUCGGCAUUCAUGGUGGCUAUCAUGUUGCAAUGUACCUUCGAUGCAUCACGCUUGUAAGUUUCAAAAACGGUCAUUUCAGCCGGAGUAGUGAUUUCAGGUUUGAUUUUCUCGAGCUUCUCAUCGAGGACAUACUCCUUUUCCUCAUAGCAAGCAAUUAUGCGAAUGUAUCUUAUCCAUUUGCUAAAGUUCUUUCCAUCGAAAGUGACCUUUUGACAAAGGCUCAUCAAUGUGAAUGAACUAGCAGCAACAUUGUUCGCGUUCGACAUCUACAAAUAGAAAGGACAAAGAUAGAUUAGAAUAUGAAUCCCUAAUUAUCACCCAAUAAGAAAAAUUAGGGCUAGGAUCCAACAACAAUAUUUACAUAUUAGAAAAGGGAUGCCGUAAUCUAACAUGCAAACAAUUUGAAGGUAAGUGAAUGACGAUUCACUAAUUCUCCAACACAAAACAUAGCUUUAAGUUCUAAAUGUAUUGAGAAUUCCUAGGUUUAGAUGAGAUUCAUUGAAACUUUUCAAUGGCAUGUUUAAAUCUCGAUAUGCCCCUCUCGUUUGUAACUGGGAUACCGAGGAUCACAAAGUGGGUGUGAAUUACCAUGCAAAUUUACAUGGUGCCUUCAUUGUAACGAUCACCUAUUCGAUGUGCCGGUAAACCACACACGCUCCAUCGAACUAUGAUAAACAAUGAAUCACCCUUUUCCACCUUUGCNCCUAUAACCAAUUAGUGUGCCGAUAAACCACACACGCUCCACUAACUUCUUAGCAAGGGUGCAAAGUGUAAUUUCAUGGGAUUGCAUCAAUUCACUUUUCCUAAAGUAACUAAGAUUGGGAAAUUUUUGAAAAACAUGUAGUUACUUUGUAUUUUAUAUUAUAGUUUUAAUGAAGAGAUGAGGUUGCCCUAUCCUACCCGUUCGGCUAACGACCCUCCACCGAUCAAGCAAGCGGUGGGUGUGAGUGUACACCCAUUAAGCGCCAUUUUAUAGGCAGCAACCUUAUACCCACCUUAUAGACCGGCUUCGUGAAUGAGGCCUACUAACGGUAAGACUAGCAUUUUAAUUAUACAUAUAUAUAUAUAUAUAUAUAUAUAUUAAUCUUGUAAUAUUAUAUUAGUAUAGGGUUGAAUUUUAAACUUGUAAAAUUCUAGGGUUUGAAAUUUAAAUUGUCUAAAUUAAACUUUUAAUCACAAAACAUAAAUUUCAAAACUUGAGGGCAAGUUUUAAACUUUUAAAACAUAGAGGAUCAAAUAACAAAUAAUCUUAAUUAACAAUUAAUUCCAUAAUUAUCCAUAUUUGAUUUAUUUAAUGAUUUCUUGCAAAACAAUUUACCAAUUUAAUUAAAAUAAUUAAUCAAUUAUCACAUAAGGAAAUAAAUAUUUUAUUAAUUGAUAAAUAUCUUCAAUUAGGUCAAGAAUAUACUCAUAUAUAUCAUAAAAUCGGAUUUAUAUUGAUCUAAUAUGAUUAAGGCAAGUAUCUCAAAGAUAAACAGCAAGAAAUCCCGAAGUUUCCUCUUUCUGACGCUCGAACUCGCCGAGUACCCAGAUGGACUCGCCGAGUUGAGCCUACUCGCCGAGUACCACCAUGGGACUCGCCGAGUUCAUCAGCCAGAGGACAAAAAAAAGAUUUUUUCAGCAACAAACAAGCAAUCAAAGUAUGAAUUCAAUAGAAACCAAUCUAGGCUCUGAUACCACUGAUGGGUUUUAGCCAUAUGAACAUUCCUAUGUGCACAUGCAACCCUAAUGCUUGGAUCUAGGUUUCUCUAAUUGAACAUACAUUGAAUCCAAGACUUCUAAUGGCUAAUAGACAAUAAUAACAAUAUGAAAUCAAAGAUUAGAAGUUUACCUUGAAUCACUUGCUUGAUCUUCUUGUCCUUGAGGCUUUAGAGUCACAAUUGUCACUCCUCUAAUGGCUUACAAACACCAACUAGCAAGAAGAUGAUUUAGGAGAGAGGAGAGGGGAGGAAGAAUUCGGCCAGGGUUUCCUUAGAGACAAGUGUGUCGAAUUCCCUCAACCCAUAGGGUCUAUUUAUACUAGUAAGGCUCCUAGGGUUUCACCCUUAAACCCUAAUUGGAUAACUUAAGCCCUAAGCAAUCCAAAUCCUUUCCAUGAUAAGCCUUGGACGAUUUUAUGGCUAUCCUUAGCCCUAGAAAUCGUCCACCCCUUAUCCAUAAAGGAUAUAUAGCCCAAAGUGCAACUAUCAAACAAUUGACAGUUUAUACCCCUUUAUUUAAUUAAUCUCUUUAAGUCACCAAAUUAAUUCCUAAUUAAUUUAUGACUUAUAUUAAUCAAAUAACAAUAUUAUUAUUCCUUAUAUUAUUCUUAUAAUAUAUUAAUAAUAUUCCUUCUCUCAUUAUAAAUCAUCCUGUCAAGUUGCUAUGGUGAAGGCAACCCAAAAGGACCAUGCUCAACCGGGUCAAAUACUUGCCUAAUAGAGUUGUAGCCUAAGACACUAUUCCAACAGAUGCAUGCGAGUAAAAGUGUAUAUUUUUAAAAGAAAAUGUUUUGUUUAUGAAAACGUUUUGUCAAAGGGUUUUUGAUCCCCUUUGUAUUUAUAGUUUGUAUAUCUUAUGUGGUUCGAUAUACUUAGUUCACUAUAAACAAUGCUCUGAUACCAAUCUGUCACACCCCCAAACCAAAAUGGCGGAAACAUUCGGGNACUUCACGUAUACCAUAACAAUUGAAUAUUGUAAAGAAAGUAAUACAACCAUCAUAUAUAUAAUAAAAACGUACAUUGUUGCGUUAUACAUGUUUCCAAAAGAAUAUUACAAUAUGAUGAUUUAAAAUGUUUAAUAAUAAACGCCUUUAGCGUUCCUUCAUCAAAAGCUGGUAGUUACCUGUAUUACUAAUUCCCUGGGAAAUACAAGUGGUUUCGAAAAAGUGUCUACAAUAAAGUUGGUGAGUUCAUAAAUGUUUUGUACUGAAAAAGAAUGUCUUUUUGGAAGAAAAUCGAUGAACGUGGCUUUCAGAAAAUUCAAUAUUUUCCACAUAUAGUUUGAAAAGUUCCCAAGGUUGGAGGGCGUUAGUAUCUUUCGUAUUUAAAUGAUAAAGAUAAGUUUUGUACUCAAAAUAAUGUAAAUACUGAAUGCAUGUAUGAAUCUCGUAAAUCAAGCUUGUUUUUAUACUUUCGUGUGAGUCUUAUAACCAUACUAUUGACACAGACUGCCUGUAACAACAUUCUUCAGGUGUUGUAGUGUUAUGACAUUUGUCACCCCAGACCUCCCGGUCUAACUGUAGCUAACAGUUUAGGUGCGGGGUUGUCAAUCCCGUAUAGAUCUAUACACAAGUAUCACGCUCUCCCUCCAAGAGAUUAUGGUUUAUAAUACAGGACUUGAAAUGCAUACAUAAGAGUACGUUGAAGUUUGAAUAUCUCACAUCACUUAGUAUAAAUAGAUUUACGAUAAGAAAGUCUUUAUUUCACUUUAGAUGAAAGUAUUUCGUUUUUCAAGAUGUAUACGUAAGAAUGUAUGAAUAACUCGCAAACUAUACCCAUUAUAGUUUUUCAGAAAGUAUGUUCCAUUUGGUGAAAAUAACUUGGUGAUAUACUAAACUUUAUACGUAAAGUAAGAUGUUGGUAUCGAAUAAUAAUAAGAUAGAUGUUGCAUUUAUAUAAAACGAUACGUUUUCUUGUAUUGUACUUGUAUUCCCCCCCCCCCCUAAAACAUGAAAAGACUUGAAAAGUAGGGGUAUGAACUCACUUGUUCGGUUUCAAGAGAGUGAGACUAGAGUCGGGCAGAACUUCAACUGCGAAAAGCUGCAUCUUCGAGCUUCUCGGGGAUCUCGGUAGCGUAGAACCUUCGUCGGGGGCUUGAGUGUGGAACCGAGGGUGUCGGGAUGGUCUCUGGUACGUAAGAGUGUGUGAGGGUGAGUGAAACUUUGAGUGAGGUGUGCUAAAAUCCGGAGCUUAUGCCUUCUAUUUAUAGGGCUGAAAAUGCGAGUACAUUGGGCGUACCACCGGAGUACGCUGGGCGUAACUUUGCGUCAUGGCUUACGACUCGGGUCUAGCUAGUCGUAGAGCUUGCAGCCGAUGGGACUCGACCCUGCACCUGAGUACGCUGGGCGUACUCCUGAAUUACGCUGGGCGAAAUUCUGGCUUCCGUCUUCUAAAUUCCGUAACUUUCGCGUACGGGCUCCGUCUUUCGCGUUCUUUAUAUCCACACGUAGGUGAGAUUAUGUUCUACAACUUUCAUUUAGACUCCGUCGGCUAGUUUUGACUUUAUUUUUAAUGCUAUGUUUAUAAUAGGCGGGGACUGCUAAAGUCCGUUAAAAAUUCAUAAUUUCUUUAUCCGACGUCUGUUUUCGUUUGUCUUUUUGUCAUCUUACUCCUAUUGUGGAGGCCUUCUACUCUCGUUUAGGUUGCGUUAGCUAAAUAUCGAUCGAUUUUCAAUUCGAGUUUUUAGCUCUCUACUACUGUUACGAAACUUAGAAAAUUGGUAACUUCUUCAUACGAGGUCCAAUUUGGGCGAUCUUUUUAUGUACGUUUACAGUUUAACGAACUCUACAACUUUUGUUUAGAUACUUAAGGCUAACAUACAUUUUAUUUGAAUUUCACUUUUACGUUAAAUAGUGUUUUACCGGGUGUGUCGUAAAUAUUUGAGUGGUUAUAGUUUCAUCAAUAUAAUCGGGUUUCAAAUGUUCUUUAUGUUUUUGGAAACCUUGGCACGAUAUCUAACAUUUGAUGCAUCCCAAUUUAGAUAUUUUGAACACUCUAUUUUUGAGGUUAAUUUCGUUGAUUCCAAAUAGUUUUCGUUGUAUUUGACUUUUGAGUGUUACAUUGCUUUUGGAAAAAUAUAGUGUUGUCACAAUACUGCAUCGGGCCGUGGCCCUGAACACAUAGAGCAUAAAUCAUGUCUGAGCCACAAAGGCAUCAGACAUACUAACUACUGCAUCGGACCGAAGUCCGGAAACUACUGCUAACUAAGCGGGCCGACAUUGUGGCCGUAGACCCGUUCCUACAGGAAGGAAACUCACCUUGUAAUCUGGCUGAUGAACGAACUGUUCGGGAAACUGUCUGCUGCUGCUCCGGUACCUCUCCGGCUACAAUUUCCAUAAGUACACUCAAUCAAUUACUAAUAAUUAUGCUGAGGGUAAAAUGAUUGUUUUACCCCUAGUCAAAGUCAACCUCUUGGUCAAAGUCAACAUAUAGUUGACCUGACUCGUCGAGUUGGGCUGCCAACUCGUUGAGUCCUUACUCUCACUUCUCGCUUUUGCUCUCUAUUACUCGUCGAGUUCGGCAUAGACUCGAAGAGUUCCUCUUCGAUACUAACACUCAGUCAAUAUGCAUCCGACUCGCCGAGUUAUAUGAACAACUUGUCGAGUUCUCCUUCAUCGCAUGAACACUCUGGCUGUGACUCGCCGAGUUGUAUGAUCAACUCGUCGAGUCUGUUCUUAAGAUAUGAAGAUUGCCUUGGACUCGCCGAGUCCCUUCCCUACUGAAUCUUACCUCCUGCUCACUAAGUCCCUCCUCUAACUCACUGGUUCCACUCGGCAAAACCCAAAAGGGAAAAAUUGGGGAUUCGCGACUCGACUCGCCGAGUCGAUUGCAUGCAACCACUAAUCAGAUGAUUCUGGUCAAUUCCAUUGCAUUCAACUAAUAGAACUGGGCUCCUAGGGCUUGUUUCACACGUCAAGUUUCCAACUUUACAUGUAUAAAUGCAUCCAUGGAGGUUUAAAAGCUCUAAAGGGACCAAAAGAGUAUAUCUAGGGCUUUGAUGCAAGAAUGGCCCCAAAAAGGCGAUAGAUCUGAGCUUCUAGAGCUCAUACAUGGGUAGAUCUGAUGGCUAUUCAUCACCACAUGCUUCCAAUACUACUACCAAUCCAAAAAU